rnacentral:rRNA from 1 species
GACGAACGCUGGCGGCGUGCCUAAUACAUGCAAGUUGAGCGCUGAAGGUUGGUACUUGUACCGACUGGAUGAGCAGCGAACGGGUGAGUAACGCGUGGGGAAUCUGCCUUUGAGCGGGGGACAACAUUUGGAAACGAAUGCUAAUACCGCAUAAAAACUUUAAACACAAGUUUUAAGUUUGAAAGAUGCAAUUGCAUCACUCAAAGAUGAUCCCGCGUUGUAUUAGCUAGUUGGUGAGGUAAAGGCUCACCAAGGCGAUGAUACAUAGCCGACCUGAGAGGGUGAUCGGCCACAUUGGGACGGAGACACAGCCCAAACUCCUACGGGAGGCAGCAGUAGGGAUUCUUCGGAAAUGGACGAAAGUCUGACCGAGCAACGCCGCGGGAGUGAAGAAGGUUGUCGGAUCGUAAAACUCGGUUGGUAGAGAAGAACGUUGGUGAGAGUGGAAAGCUCAUCAAGUGACGGUAACUACCCAGAAAGGGACGGCUAACUACGUG